GUCAUUCUAUGUGAUGAUAUAUAUUGUGGCAAUAUUGCUUAAGAUCAUCUUAAGUCUUUAAAUGCUUUUUCAUUUAUUAAAUUUUUAGGUUUGUGGCAGCAAUUCCCCUUCCCACCACUGAUUUUGUUGUUUUUUGCCUUUCAGAUUGUGGGAAUGAGAGGAGUGCAUUAAGGAUACACAAACAAAGCCUGAGGAUGAUGAGUGCAUAAAAACACCUUUGUUAUCCAUUGCAGGACUCUUAUAGGACAGAUGGCUUCUCAUGUUGUGCGUCCAGACAGAGAAGUAAAAGCUGGAUCAGUUAAGAAAAAGUCCGUGGUGGUGCAGAUGGUGAUGACAGCUCAUACAGAAAUGCUGCUAGAUUUCUAA
rnacentral:lncRNA from 1 species